rnacentral:tRNA from 1 species
AGACUGUGUAACUCACUGGUAGAGUGUCUGCCUGAAAAGCGGAAGGCAAUAGGUCCGAUUCCUAUCCAGUCUGCCA